rnacentral:misc_RNA from 1 species
UCCGGCUUGUCACCGGCAGUUUCCCCAGAGUGCCCAGCUUAACCUGAUGGCAACUGAAGAUGAGGGUUGCGCUCGUUGCGGGACUUAACCCAACAUCUCACGACACGAGCUGACGACGGCCAUGCAGCACCUGUGUGGUAGCCAGCCGAACUGAAGGACCCGGUCGCCCAGGCCCAUACUACCCAUGUCAAGAGCUGGUAAGGUUCUUCGCGUUGCGUCGAAUUAAACCACAUGCUCCACCGCUUGUGCGGGCCCCCGUCAAUUCCUUUGAGUUUUAAUCUUGCGACCGUACUCCCCAGGCGGUGUGCUUAAAGCGUUAGCUGCGACACCGGAGGGCAACCCCCCAACGUCUAGCACACAUCGUUUACAGCGUGGACUAC